rnacentral:other from 1 species
AAGGGAAGCAUGAAACUGAACAUUAGGAUGAUGGCGGUUUCAUAAAGUAGGGGAAGACUCAGGAUGGGUCAGGACAGCAUCGGAGCAUGCUAGGAUGUUUCAGGAAGAAACAAGGGACACCUCCAGGACGGAGAUUGAGAGCCAAAACAUGGAGUUUGGUGGGUCAGGAAGACUAAAGGACAAACGUCAGGAUGACCAGGACGAUACGUCAGGAUGAAAGUGGGACGAAGCAAAGGAUGGCUGGUUAGGAUAACCGCAGGACAAGUUUUCAAGGAACGAGCAGGGAGCACACAGGUAGCUGGAUUGCUAUAAACGAACCGGGGGUACUGUGAAAACAGUACCCCCAACUUUUUGU